UAUUGACUUUUAACUUCAUAAUUGAAUGCACAAAGUUUUCCUCCCAGUGUUGAGCAAUUUACAUUGGAUUCCAUCAGCACCUUGACAACAAGGAAAUAGGAAAACACAUUUACAUUGACAAUGUCUGUAAAUCUAAAGUGUUAUCUGGUGGUGAGAUAGAUGGGGGUAGUGGCAUGUGUGUGUGUAGUCAGCUGGCACAAAUCGCCCCAGGCCAGCACUAGACCAGCGAUCAAGCGUGACGGGCAGCGACGGUCAACAGCGAUGACUGGCGAAGUUUCAAGAAACAUCUGAAGUUAACACUACUCAGGCUAGUCACGUCGUAUGUGGUCAUGUGAUCAACCUUCCAGUACCCAUUGAUCGUUGGAAAAGCUUUUAUCCAAAGAACAGGCUUGGACUGGGAGCUCUUCACCCCAAAUCCUGUCUGAGAGCAACCCGCAGUAAUGGCCAUGGACCGAUUAAGGGGACCGUACUUCUUUCUUGGUUUCCACUCGCUAUAAGUGGCCGAGGGCAGCGCUAACCAUGGGGAGUUUGCCUCAUAUUCCUAUAUUGUAACCGCCACUGUUCCGUGCAGGGACCGCAAAUCCAGCUAACGAGAAACUGAUGUCGGCCCCCUUGUAGAACAGCGUGUCGAACUUUUUGGACUGGGUUGCUGGUUUUUGUACCAUCCCUAUCCCGAGAUAAAAAAAAACAACUCACACAGGGUAUACUGCCUGGGUUUUGUUCGCUUCCCGUUUUUAGCCUAGCUAUUUCCGCUACUAGACGUUUCCACAGAGGCGCCACGCUGAGGCGACGGGGGCUGAAUCCUCCGCAUGCUAACAACCAGAAUGGCCGAGCUACGUUCCGUCGGUUUUUGGAAGGCCAGUGGGGACUUUAUAUGAAGAGAGGUUUGUGUCGCAGUCAAAACGGUUCACUGCAGCACAGUUCACUACAGAUUUGAGUACAGACGACUUGUUUAGGUGAGGUUCUGUACGGCACAUUACGAUGGUUCGGUGCGGAGUAGAGUCAAGACACCUCACGAGUACGGGACUACGUCAUGGUGUUGAUCUAGAGUCAAUCUAUACGAUGUAGUCCGACAGAAGUCCAAUGUGUGAAGUCAGUCCUGUACAGUUGAACCCAGUGCGGGACGAAGCAGAGAGGCCAGUGGAGUUUGAUACAGCAUUAUAACUAUACAGGCGGUACGGUUGUUAAAAGUGAAAUAUUUGUACAGUCAGUGUUAUGUGUUGCCAAUUGUACAGUAUUGACUGUUGAUUUACUCGGCAUUAAACUACUAGGUUAUUUUC